rnacentral:rRNA from 1 species
UACGUAGGGUGCAAGCGUUAAUCGGAAUUACUGGGCGUAAAGCGUGCGCAGGCGGUUUUGUAAGUCAGAUGUGAAAUCCCCGGGCUUAACCUGGGAACUGCGUUUGAAACUACAAGGCUAGAGUGUGGCAGAGGGGGGUGGAAUUCCACGUGUAGCAGUGAAAUGCGUAGAGAUGUGGAGGAACACCGAUGGCGAAGGCAGCCCCCUGGGUCCCUACCGACGCUGGGGUGCGAAAGCAUGGGGAG